UACGGAGGGUGCAAGCGUUUAUCCGGAUUCACUGGGUUUAAAGGGUGCGUAGGCGGCUUGUUAAGUCAGUGGUGAAAGCUUACAGCUUAACUGUGAAAUUGCCAUUGAAACUGACAAGCUUGAAUCUGGUUGAAGUGGGCGGAAUACAACAUGUAGCGGUGAAAUGCUUAGAUAUGUUGUAGAACACCGAUUGCGAAGGCAGCUCACUAAGCCAACAUUUGACGCUGAGGCACGAAAGCGUGGGUAGCGAACAGG
rnacentral:rRNA from 1 species